GACGAACGCUGGCGGCGUGCUUAACACAUGCAAGUCGAACGAAGAGCGACGGAAGCUUGCUUCUAUCAAUCUUAGUGGCGAACGGGUGAGUAACGCGUAAUCAACCUGCCCUUCAGAGGGGGACAACAGUUGGAAACGACUGCUAAUACCGCAUACGAUCUAAUCUCGGCAUCGAGGAUAGAUGAAAGGUGGCCUCUACAUGUAAGCUAUCACUGAAGGAGGGGAUUGCGUCUGAUUAGCUAGUUGGAGGGGUAACGGCCCACCAAGGCGAUGAUCAGUAGCCGGUCUGAGAGGAUGAACGGCCACAUUGGGACUGAGACACGGCCCAGACUCCUACGGGAGGCAGCAGUGGGGAAUCUUCCGCAAUGGACGAAAGUCUGACGGAGCAACGCCGCGUGAGUGAUGACGGCCUUCGGGUUGUAAAGCUCUGUUAAUCGGGACGAAAGGCCUUCUUGCGAAUAGUGAGAAGGAUUGAC
rnacentral:rRNA from 1 species